CACGUAGGGCGCAAGCGUUGUCCGGAAUUAUUGGGCGUAAAGAGCUCGUAGGUGGUUUGUUACGUCUGCUGUGAAAACCUAGGGCUUAACCCUGGGCUUGCAGUGGAUACGGGCAGACUAGAGGUAGGUAGGGGAGAAUGGAAUUCCUGGUGUAGCGGUGAAAUGCGCAGAUAUCAGGAGGAACACCGGUGGCGAAGGCGGUUCUCUGGGCCUUACCUGACGCUGAGGAGCGAAAGCGUGGGGAGCGAACAGG
rnacentral:rRNA from 1 species